rnacentral:rRNA from 1 species
AACGCACCUUGCGCUCCUUGGUAUUCCGAGGAGCAUGCCUGUUUGAGUGUCAUGGAAUUCUCAACUCAUCAGUCUUGUUAUGAGGCUUUGAUGGGCUUGGAUUUGGAGGUUUAUGCUGCAUUUGUAUUAAUGCGGCUCCUCUUGAAUGUAUUAGUAGAACCUGCCAAGCAGUUCUCAGUGUGAUAAUUAUCUACGCCGUGGACUAUUUGCCGUUUUUAGCACUGCUUAUAAUCGUCUGUUCAUUCGGACAAUAUAUGACAAUUUGACCUCAAAUCAGGUAGGACUACCCGCUGAACUUAA